UACGGGGGGGGCAAGCGUUUGUUCGGAAUUACUGGGCGUAAAGGGCUCGUAGGCGGCCAACUAAGUCAGACGUGAAAUCCCUCAGCUUAACUGGGGAACUGCGUCUGAUACUGGAUGGCUUGAGUUUGGGAGAGGGAUGCGGAAUUCCAGGUGUAGCGGUGAAAUGCGUAGAUAUCUGGAGGAAUACCGGUGGCGAAGGCGGCAUCCUGGACCGACAUUGACGCUGAUGAGCGAAAGCUAGGGGAGCAAACGGG
rnacentral:rRNA from 1 species